GCGGAAGGCUCCUUCGGGAGUACUCGAGCGGCGAAAGGGGGAGUAACGCGAUGGAUAUUUACCCUCGGAUCUAGGAUAGCGGCGGGAGACUGCCGGCUAAUACUAGAUAAUGUCUCCGGACCAAAGGUGUGAUUCCGUCCGAGGAUAAGUCCGCGUUCCUAUUANCUUGUUGGUGGGGUAAUGGCCUACCAAGGCUUUGAUGGGUACCGGGUGUGAGAGCAUGGCCCGGCUCACUGGGACUGAGACACUGCCCAGACACCUACGGGUGGCUGCAGUCGAGAAUCUUCGGCAAUGGGCGCAAGCCUGACCGAGCGACGCCGCGUGCGGGAUGAAGGCCCUCGGGUUGUAAACCGCUGUCAGAGGGGAGGAAAUGCAUGAGGGUUCUCUCUCAUGUUUGACCUAUCCUCAGAGGAAGUACGGGCUAAGUUCGUGCCAGNAGCCGCGGUAAUACGAACCGUACGAACGUUAUUCGGAAUCACUGGGCUUAAAGAGUGCGUAGGCGGCUUGGAAAGUUGGGUGUGAAAGCCCUCGGCUCAACCGGGGAAUUGCGCCCAAUACUGCCAAGCUUGAGGGAGGNAGAGGUUAAGCGGAACUAAAUGGUGGAGCGGUGAAAUGCGUUGAUAUCAUUAGGAACNCCUGAGGCGAAAGCAGCUUACUGG
rnacentral:rRNA from 1 species